rnacentral:tRNA from 1 species
GCUUAGAUAGCUCAGUUGGUUAGAGCAUGGUACUGAUAACACCAAGGUUGCAGGUUUGAUUCCCACAUGGGACA